rnacentral:rRNA from 1 species
GUAAGGGAAGAACGUUAUUAGUAGGAAAUGGCUAAUAAGUGACGGUACCGUUACCAGAAAGGGACGGCUAACUACGUGCCAGCAGCCGCGGUAAUACGUAGGUCCCGAGCGUUAUCCGGAAUUAUUGGGCGUAAAGGGCACGUAGGCGGACAAAUAAGUUUGAUGUCAAAUAUGAUGGCUCAACCAUCAAGAGGCGUUGAAAACUGUUUAUCUAGAAUCUCGGAGAGGUAAGUGGAAUUCCAUGUGUAGCGGUGGAAUGCGUAGAUAUAUGGAGGAACACCAAUGGCGAAGGCAGCUUACUGGACGAAGAUUGACGCUGAGGUGCGAAAGCGUGGGUAGCAAACAGGAUUAGAUACCCUGGUAG